UGGAAAACUGGGAUUGGCUUGAUUUCUUGUUAAGUGCAUACUGAAGACUUCUGUUCUGUUCUUCCAUUCUAAGAAGCUGCUCAGUCAGAAGAUUGAUCCUUGUCUCAGCUGCUGCAUCAUCAACAUGAAAGUCGGCCGAACUAAUCAUGUAAUAAUUUGAUCUUUUUCUUCUAGUUCCAGCUUGAUCCUUUCCGAGCAUUUCGACUUCAUUCUUCAUUUUUGUCAAGGCUGCAGGGCCGGGCAACCGUCUGCGCACAAGGAGACGCAGCCUUUCACACUCGGACUCUAGUUUGGCAACUUUCUUCAUGCUCUCUUGGUGUUGCUUCUGAGCUAUCUCCGCUGUGCGGCGAUUGAAUUCAGUUUCCUCGUUCCGAAUGUCAAG
rnacentral:lncRNA from 1 species